rnacentral:lncRNA from 1 species
AUGACAUUGUCGCAGGACGUCUUAAACAGUUGCAUCAUGAUAAAGCUACUGACAUGGAAUUACAUAGAUUUAAUAGUCUACUACCACACUAAAACCCAACCACAGGACGUCUUAAACAGUUGCAUCAUGAUAAAGCUACUGACAUGGAAUUACAUAGAUUUAAUAGUCUACUACCACACUAAAACCCAACCACAGGUCACAAUCCUGUUUUGUCUCUUCCUGGUGCAGUUGAACUGAAGUGGUUUCUGAGGUCCUCUUGCUCUCAUGUUACUAGCUACUGUCUUUAAGGAAAUGUAGCUUCUUUUUUUUACAACCAAAUCUCUGUUUUGAUGUCAAUGGCAAAUUUAUAGAAGGGUUCAAAGACUUUUUGUUUUUGUUUUGUGUGAUUUCACUUGUUUUUGAGAAACUUACCCCAGCCAUCAUUUCCUCGUCCUCGUUGUGCAGUACUGGGGCUCUGAACAAAUGUAUAUUUCAUUUUGUGCGACUCAAGCCGUCAAGCCCCUAUCCAGCUGUUCCAUUUUCUAUGUAGCCUGCUGCUAGAAUGGGCGGAGAGAUAUCACUCGAGUUGUCUGUUUCAUGUGUACAACAUCUAAAGACCUGCAUCACUAUACUGAGAGCUUUUCUGUUUUUAAAAGGAUGUAUUUGGGUUUUUCGGAGCCCCCGUACUGCACAUCGAGGAUAACGAAAAUGAAUCGCUCUUUGGGGUAAGUUUCUCAAAAACAAGUGAAAUCACCAAGUGUCUGGACAUGCCAUAUACAUUUUUUUUUAAUGAUUUGGUUGUAAAAAGCUAAAUUGUCUUUUAAGCUCUACACAUAUUCUUCUUGUGGUGUGUGUGUGUGUGUGUGUGUGUGUGUGUGUGGUGUGUGUGUGUGUGUGUGUGUGUGUGUGUGUGUGUGUGUGUGUGUGUGUGAACCUUCAACACUGGCUUGGGUGAGAAGUGUGUACAGUAUGUGUCACUUAUGGUUGAUUGUAUGACUGUUUAGAAGUGACCCAUUUGUAUAUAAUACAUAUAUGUGAAGCUUGGAUAGAUGGCCUUGUGUUGCGGAUGUGGUAGUGUUUGUAAGAUAAUUAACGAUAGCGAGUAUCUGUAUUUGGUGCAAACUACGCUAUAUUCUCACAUGCUUAAGUGUUCCAAUAAAGGACCAUGAAUGUACAUAAUUUGUGGUGUUGCUUCAUUUCACUUGAUUUUAAGGUGUAAGUGUGAAAAGUUAUUUUAUCAUCAAGGUUUGUGAUUAGCUAGCCUAUCUGCAAUUCAGUCACUGCAUUACUAACUUGCGGGAUUCCCAUUUAACCUCUAGAGCGUUUCGUUUCUAAAUGUCUGCGCAAGAGUGAAUGUUUCAUAGAGUUGUGAGAUAGUACUUUUGCACAUAUAACACACUGUGGCUGAGGAAUGGCACUACUCCCGAUAUAAGUGAACCCCAAACUAAUGUAGUUCUCAUCAUAUUUGCGCAUUUCUGAUGGUCAAACGUCCCUGUCUGUUGUUCGGGGCUUUCCCGGGUAAGGGGGCAGUAGCUCUUCGGCUGCAUUA